rnacentral:lncRNA from 1 species
AGAUGCCCAUUGGGCUUUUGGUGUUUGGGUUCCAGAGUCACGCUGGAUAUGGCUUCCUGGGACUCUGUGCUGCCAGUGAGUACAGUCAGCCCAUUGUUGUGUCACCCCAGUGGUUGGGUGUUGUGCAGUUGACCAUGGAUAGGUUUUCCCCUUUUUUUCAGUCCCCACACUGCUCUCCUGUGAGGAUUUGGUAUGCGAUGAGAGGUGUGAGAUGGAUGGACAGCCAGAGUGCAUCCAGGAGACUUUCUCCACCUAUUGGCUUGCUGGCGGGCCACACUACUGCAGUUUUGAUGGAAAGACCUUUGAUUUCAUGGGAACAUGUGCCUACACCGUGACCACCAUCUGCGAUCCCGAUCCCACCCUUCCUGCCUUCUCUGUUGAGGUCAAAAAAAGGGCAAAUGGGGCUCCAAAAUUUCCUCCAUUGGCUCCAUCACCAUCCAUGUCGACAACGUCACUGUCACUGCUGUCCCAUCAGAGAAUGGGAUGGUGAGGGAAAGCAAAAACCAUCAUCAUUUCCCAAUUUUAAAAAUUUUUUGCUGAAAUUACAUAUUUAGCAAUGAUCUUGAGGGUCUUUUCCUAAAUAAUUCCUAGAUUUCCUGGUGUGCAGGUAACCCUUGCAUGAAAACACUUCUAGUUUUCUUGAACUCUGUAACCAAUUUUGAUGGAUUUUGGUUGUUUUGAUGGUUGUUGUUCUGCAGGUGAACAGCCACCGCUCACACCUCCCCAUCUCCUCCCAUGGGAAGCUCCACAUGCACCAGAAGGGUAAAUCCAUGCUGAUCCAGUCAAAUUUCAAGCUGAAAGUCCUCUACAAGUGGGAUGAUCAUGUAGUAAUCAAACUUCCAGCUGCUCUUUCUGGAAAAGUCUGCGGAAUGUGCAGGAACAACAGGGACCUCUGGGAUCAUGCACUCUGUCUUGAUGGUAAACAGCUCUCACUUGCCUGCCCAACAGCACCCACAGCCUGCCUCCCUACCUGCAACAUCCCCACUGUGUCAUCCCGCUGUUCCACUGUCAACACCUGCGUGGACACCUGUGUGGCCUUGAUGCCAACACCUGCGCUGCCCCCUCUGAAUGUGGCUGUGUCCUUCAAGGUCUCUUCUAUGGCCUUGGCGAGGAAUUUUGGAGUGACCUCACUUGCACCCAGCACUCUGCGUGUGAUGCGGAGCGGCGGCAGGCAGUGUGCCAGGAUUCUGGUUGUACCACUAAGGAGGAAUGCGAGGUGGAGUAGGGGAUCUAGGAUUGUUAUCCCAAAAUUUCUGCGGUCUGCACCACUGUUGGAGCCACUCACUAUGAGACCUUUAAUCAAAGGAGGUGUAUCUUCCAGGGGAUGUGUGUCUUACCUGCUGGUUGGGUUGUGUGAGGACACCCAAAAUUUGGUGGGAUUCCAGGUGUUGGUGCAGAAUGGCCACCAAAGUGACAACCUCACAUUGUCCAUUGCCGUGGUGACAGUUAAAAGUCUACAACAAAACCAUCAGCAUCAGCAGGAACAUCGUGGAAAAAUCAUGGUGAGUUUAGGAAGUGGUCCUUUUAUCUUUUCACUGCAUUCAUCACCUCAUCCCACACCUCAUCCCAAACCUCAUUGCA